AAGACCUUGCGCUUUUGGAGCGGCCGAUGCCUGAUUAGCUUGUUGGUAAGGUAAAAGCUUACCAAGGCUUCGAUCAGUAGCUGGUCUGAGAGGACGACCAGCCACACUGGGACUGAGACACGGCCCAGACUCCUACGGGAGGCAGCAGUGGGGAAUUUUGGACAAUGGGGGCAACCCUGAUCCAGCCAUGCCGCGUGAGUGAAGAAGGCCUUCGGGUUGUAAAGCUCUUUCAGCCGGAACGAAACGGUUACGGAUAACACCCGUGACUACUGACGGUACCGGAAGAAGAAGCACCGGCUAACUACGUGCCAGCAGCCGCGGUAAUACGUAGGGUGCGAGCGUUAAUCGGAAUUACUGGGCGUAAAGCGUGCGCAGGUGGUUUUGUAAGUCAGAUGUGAAAGCCCCGGGCUCAACCUGGGGACU
rnacentral:rRNA from 1 species